rnacentral:misc_RNA from 1 species
GAUGAAGAACGUAGCGAAAUGCGAUAAGUAAUGCGAAUUGCAGAAUUCAGUGAAUCAUCGAGUUUUUGAACGCACAUUGCGCCCGCCAGCAUCCUGGCGGGCAUGCCUGUUCGAGCGUCAUUUCAACCCUCAAGCCCAGCUUGGUGUUGGGGAUCGGCACAGGCGCCCUCGGGCGCCCGCCGUCCCCUAAAUCUAGUGGCGGUCCCGCUGCAGCCUCCUCUGCGUAGUAGUUUUCUCCUCGCAAGGGCAGCUCGGUGGCGACCUCGCCGUAAAACCCCCAACUUCUGAAAGGUUGACCUCGAAUCAGGUAGGAAUACCCGCUGAACUUAAGCAUAUCAAUAAGCGGAGGA